ensembl:ncRNA C24A11.13 ncRNA
AAGAAAAAAUGCCUUUCUUUCACACAAGAAUGGCUAAAACGGGCGGAGCGUCGUUUCAUCUAAGCUCUCUCACUUUUCAACGAUUUCUAAUGGCGAGUGCUCCGUUUUUGGUUGGUUGGGUGGUCAACAGAGAGGAGCGGCGGC